AAAAUACUCCCUCUAUCCCAAAAUUCUUGUCUUAAAUAUGUCUAGAUAUAGAUGUAUCUAGUUACAUUUUAGUAUUAGAUACAUCCGUAUCUAGACAAAUCUAAGACAAGAAUUUUGGGACGGAGGGAGUAGUUG
rnacentral:pre_miRNA from 1 species